rnacentral:rRNA from 1 species
UAAGGAAUAUUGGUCAAUGGGCGCAAGCCUGAACCAGCCAUGCCGCGUGCAGGAUGACUGCCCUAUGGGUUGUAAACUGCUUUUGUACGGGAAUAAACCUUUCUAUGUAUAGAGAGCUGAACGUACCGUAAGAAUAAGGAUCGGCUAACUCCGUG